AAAUUAGUAAAAUAGAAGAUGAGGUUUGUAUUGCCUGGAUGUCACAAGCGGUGCACUGAUGCUCUGUUUGCAGUCACGCGUUCCACCUGUUCGUCAUCUUGAAUUUGCUUGUGCUUAUGGUUACGUCACCAGUGAUCAUCAUCCUUAGGCCUUAGGCUCGUGUUGUCGUAAAAAACGGAGAUUCACUUACCAUGUGGUUAGUUUGCAGUGUGCGAUUGCUUUUCCCAUUUAGAUAAAAGUAAUGCGCAAAAAAAGAAAAAAAGAAAAAAGGCCCAAUUUUAAGGGAAAUAGCCGCUUUGGAAAAACACUAAAUUGUUGGAAGGCUGUGUCAAAUAUGUUAAGUAGGGUUUACAGAAGUUCGGAGAACAACAACUAAUUAUAUCACUGAAUAAAAUUUCAAUCGCACAUUUACCGUAGAUUGAAGAAACGAUUCAAUGGCUGAACCAAUUAGUUAUUCGGGCCUUAUUUCCAGAUUCGUAAAACUAAAGGGAUGAAAUCAUAAUAGUUACGCCUGUAAGGUGGAAAAGAUAUUAUUACAAUAAUAUUGAUAUGU